rnacentral:rRNA from 1 species
AAUCAACGCUGGCGGCGUGCCUAACACAUGCAAGUCGAACGAGAAAGUGGAGCAAUCCAUGAGUACAGUGGCGAACGGGUGAGUACCACGCGAUUAACCUACCUUCGAGUGGGGGAUAACGCCGGGAAACCGGCGCUAAUAACGCAUAGCAUCGCUUGGUGAAAUUCUUUGCGAUCAAAGGAGCAAUUCGCUUGAAGAGGGAGUCGCGUCUGAUUAGCUAGUUGGUGAGGUAACGGCCCACCAAGGCGAUGAUCAGUAGCCGGCCUGAGAGGGCGCACGGCCACACUGGAACUGAAACACGGUCCAGACUCCUUCGGGAGGCAGCAGUGGGAAUUUUGCGCAAUGGGGGAAACCCUGACGCAGCAACGCCGCGUGGAGGAUGAAGUCCUUUGGGAUGUAAACUCCUUUCGACCGGGAAGAUAAUGACGGUACCGGAGGAAGAAGCACCGGCUAACUCUGUGCCAGCAGCCGCGGUAACAC